CAAGGUGUCUUUCAAAUGAGCUCAGAAGACUUCUAUUUAUAACCAAUUGAAGUGUUAUUUGCACACUUCAAAAUCUAUCUAAAUUAAGCAAUGUGAAUGGCACGAGUGCAUGGGCAUGUACAGGCCCAUGAUGUAAUGUAUAAAGGUCUAAAAUCAGUCAUGUUGAAGUCUGAAUGAAUCUUGAAUGGCAAGGCAAUGUGAAAUGAAU
rnacentral:lncRNA from 1 species